rnacentral:rRNA from 1 species
CCUACGGGUGGCAGCAGUGGGGAAUAUUGGACAAUGGGGGGAACCCUGAUCCAGCCAUGCCGCGUGUGUGAAGAAGGCCCUCGGGUUGUAAAGCACUUUCAGUGAGGAAGAACGCCUGGUGGUUAAUACCCAUCAGGAAAGACAUCACUCACAGAAGAAGCACCGGCUAACUCCGUGCCAGCAGCCGCGGUAAUACGGAGGGUGCGAGCGUUAAUCGGAAUUACUGGGCGUAAAGCGCGCGUAGGUGGCUUGAUAAGCCGGUUGUGAAAGCCCCGGGCUCAACCCGGGAACGGCAUCCGGAACUGUCAAGCUAGAGUGCAGGAGAGGAAGGUAGAAUUCCCGGUGUAGCGGUGAAAUGCGUAGAGAUCGGGAGGAAUACCAGUGGCGAAGGCGGCCUUCUGGACUGACACUGACACUGAGGUGCGAAAGCGUGGGUAGCAAACAGGAUUAGAUACCCGAGUAGUC